AAUCCUGUCGGGUAAGGUUUAGCCAACCGCCUGUACCGAGUCCUUGGAGUCGAAGCGGUAACGUCAGAUUUAAGCGUAGGACAGGGAGCAACAGAGCCGAAACGAAAGUGAAGUGAUGGAGCUGGGAAAUUAUUAUGAGGUUGGAAGCGGUCGAUGUGUUGAUAACUACAGCAGACAACAUUUCUGCAACCGUUAAGGCAAGGGAGCAGAAACAUCCCCCAGUCCGAGAG
rnacentral:ncRNA from 1 species